UGAGACAGUUCGGUCCCUAUCCGUCGUGGGCGUAGGAAAUUUGAGAGGAGCUGUCCUUAGUACGAGAGGACCGGGAUGGACAUACCUCUGGUGUACCAGUUGUCGUGCCAACGGCAUAGCUGGGUAGCUAUGUGUGGACGGGAUAAGUGCUGAAAGCAUCUAAGCAUGAAGCCCCCCUCAAGAUGAGAUUUCCCAACUUCGGUUAUAAGAUCCCUCAAAGAUGAUGAGGUUAAUAGGUUCGAGGUGGAAGCAUGGUGACAUGUGGAGCUGACGAAUACUAAUCGAUCGAAGACUUAAUCAA
rnacentral:rRNA from 1 species